rnacentral:rRNA from 1 species
UGGGGAAUUUUGCACAAUGGGGGAAACCCUGAUGCAGCGACGCCGCGUGAUUUAGAAGGCCUUCGGGUUGUAAAAAUCUUUUCUAUGGGAAGAAAAUGACAGUACCAUAGGAAUAAGGACUGGCUAAUUACGUGCCAGCAGCCGCGGUCAUACGUAAGGUCCGAGCGUUGUCCGGAACCAUUGGGCGUAAAGGGUACGGAGGCGGGUAAGCAAGUUAGAAGUGAAAUCCUAUAGCUCAACUAUAGUAAGCUUUUAAAACUGCUCAUCUUGAGGUAUGGAAGGGAAAGUGGAAUUCCGAGUGUAGCGGUGAAAUGCGCAGAUAUUUGGAGGAGUACCGGUGGAGAAGGCGACUUUCUGGCCAUCACCUGACGCUGAGGUACGCAAGCGUGGGUAGCAAACAGG